GUGAACGCCCUCACGGGCUUAUACUAUUCCAAACCUCUGUGAACCGUGCCCUUCGGGGCUAUUUUACGAACAUGGUGUAAUGAACGUCAUAUAUCAUAACAAAACA
rnacentral:misc_RNA from 1 species